rnacentral:rRNA from 1 species
CCGCACGAGCGCACCCUUGCCCUAUGUUGCCAGCGGAUCAUGCCGGGGACUCAUGGGGGACUGCCGGUGAUAAACCGGAGGAAGGUGGGGACGACGUCAAGUCAUCAUGGCCCUUACGCCCAGGGCUACACACGUGCUACAAUGGCCGGCACAAAGGGCUGCCAACCUGCGAAGGUGAGCGAAUCCCAAAAAGCCGGUCUAAGUUCGGAUUGUAGUCUGCAACUCGACUGCAUGAAGUCGGAAUCGCUAGUAAUCGUGUAUCAGCAACGACACGGUGAAUACGUUCCCGGGCCUUGUACACACCGCCCGUCAAGCCAUGGAAGCUGGGAGUGCCCGAAGUCUGUGACCCAACCUAGUGAGGGAGCAGCCGAAGGUAAGUUCGGUGACUGGGGCUAAGUCGUAACAAGGUAGCCGUAGGGGAACCUGCGGCUGGAUCACCUCCUUU